GACGAACCGUGCGAACGUUGCUCGGAAUCACUGGGCUUAAAGGGCGCGUAGGCGGGUGGCCAAGUCAGGGGUGAAAUCUUUCGGCUCAACCGGAAAAUGGCUUCUGAUACUGGUCGUCUUGAGUGAGGUAGGGGCAUGUGGAACUUCCGGUGGAGCGGUGAAAUGCGUAGAUAUCGUAAGGAAGACCAGUGGCGAAGGCGGGUCUCUGGACAGUUCCUGACGCUGGAGGCACGAAGGGUCAGGGGAGCAAACGGG
rnacentral:rRNA from 1 species